GGGCGAUGAAGGAGUGACAAGAUUAUGGCGAUCAACAGAUGGCUUAGGGAGUGGUGUUAUAAGGAGGGCUUUGGGAUGUACGGUCACUGGGAAGCGUUUACGGAUAGACGACUGUUCGCUCAGGAUGGACUUCAUCUAAGCAAGGAGGGAAAUAGAAUUCUAGGAUGGAGGCUCGCCGACCUCAUCAAGAGAGCUUUAAACUAGGAAGUUGGGGGAGAUGGUUGGGAGAUGUUCGGGAGAUCUCCACGCCGGAAUAUAACCUGGAGAGGAAAGUAAACAAAGUGAGAGGGGAUACCCUUGCGGUCCCAAGAUUUGAUCCAAGGAGGAAUAGUGGAGUAGAAACCAGAGUAACGGGUGAUGCUGGUGGUAAAAGGUCUCUGCACGACGGGGGAAAGAAUGUCACUGACGCCAAACGCCGAAAAUUAAAAGGUCUGUACACUAAUGCGAGGAGCCUAGGUAACAAGAUGGAGGAACUGGAGUUACUGGUGCAGGAAGUGAAACCGGAUAUUAUAGGGAUAACUGAAACCUGGUGGAAUAGUACUCAUGACUGGAGCACGGGUAUUGAAGGCUAUGUGCUGUUUAGAAAAGACAGGAAGAAAGGCAAAGGUGGUGGAGUAGCCUUGUACAUCAAUGAUGACAUUAACUGUAGCGAAAUAAGAAGCGAUGGAAUGGAUAAGACAGAGUCUGUCUGGGCGAAAAUCACACUGGGUAAAAAAGCAACUAGAGCUUCCCCUGAGAUAGUGCUUGGCGUGUGCUACAGACCGCCGGGAUCUGAUUGGGAUAUGGAUAGAGACCUCUUUAAUGUCUUUAAUGAAGUAAACACAAAGGGGAAAUGUGUGAUUAUGGGGGACUUCAACUUCCCGGAUAUAGACUGGAGGACGAGUACUUGCAAGAAUAAUAGGGGUCAGAUUUUUCUGGAUGUGAUAGCGGAUGGAUUUCUUCAUCAAGUAGUUGAAGUACCUACGAGAGGGGAUGCCAUUUUAGAUUUGGUUUUGGUGAGCAGUGAGGACCUCGUAGAAGAAAUGGUGGUAGGGGACAACCUUGGUUCGAGUGAUCAUGAGCUGAUUCAGUUCAAACUAGAUGGAAGGAUAAACAAAUGUAGAUCUGGGAUUAGGGUUUUCGACUUCUCGAGGGCUAAUUUUAAAGAGUUAAGGAAAUUAGUUAGGGAAGUGGAUUGGACGGAGGAACUUGUGGAUUUAAAUGCGGAGGAGGCCUGGAAUUACUUUAAGUCGCAGCUGCGGAAAUUGUCGGAAGCCUGCAUCCCAAGAAAGGGGAAAAAAACCAUGGGCAGGAGUUGUAGGCCAAGCUGGAUGAGCAAGCAACUCAGAGAGGGGAUUAGGAAAAAGCAGAAAGCUUACAGGGAGUGGAAGAAAGGCGGGAUUAGCAAGGGAAGCUACCUUGGUGAGGUCAGAACAUGUAGGGAUAAAGUGAG
rnacentral:lncRNA from 1 species